rnacentral:rRNA from 1 species
GUGCCAGCCGCCGCGGUAAUACAGAGGUGGCAAGCGUUGUUCGGAAUUACUGGGCGUAAAGGGCGCGUAGGCGGUUUGUCAAGUCCCGUGUGAAAGCCCUCGGCUCAACCGAGGAACGGCGCGGGAAACUAGCAGGCUUGAGUUCGGGAGAGGGAAGCGGAAUUCCGGGUGUAGCGGUGAAAUGCGCAGAUAUCCGGAGGAACACCGGUGGCGAAGGCGGCUUCCUGGACCGACACUGACGCUGAGGCGCGAAAGCUAGGGGAGCAAACGGGAUUAGAAACCCUCGUAGUCC